AGAGUUUGAUCCUGGCUCAGAGCGAACGCUGGCGGCAGGCCUAACACAUGCAAGUCGAACGGACCCUUCGGGGUUAGUGGCGGACGGGUGAGUAACACGUGGGAACGUGCCUUUAGGUUCGGAAUAGCUCCUGGAAACGGGUGGUAAUGCCGAAUGUGCCCUUCGGGGGAAAGAUUUAUCGCCUUUAGAGCGGCCCGCGUCUGAUUAGCUAGUUGGUGAGGUAACGGCUCACCAAGGCGACGAUCAGUAGCUGGUCUGAGAGGAUGACCAGCCACACUGGGACUGAGACACGGCCCAGACUCCUACGGGAGGCAGCAGUGGGGAAUCUUGCGCAAUGGGCGAAAGCCUGACGCAGCCAUGCCGCGUGAAUGAUGAAGGUCUUAGGAUUGUAAAAUUCUUUCACCGGGGACGAUAAUGACGGUACCCGGAGAAGAAGCCCCGGCUAACUUCGUGCCAGCAGCCGCGGUAAUACGAAGGGGGCUAGCGUUGCUCGGAAUUACUGGGCGUAAAGGGCGCGUAGGCGGAUCGUUAAGUCAGUGGUGAAACCCCAGGGCUCAACCCUGGAACUGCCUUUGAUACUGGCGAUCUUGAGUAUGAGAGAGGUAUGUGGCACUCCGAGUGUAGAGGUGAAAUUCGUAGAUAUUCGGAAGAACACCAGUGGCGAAAGCGACAUACUGGCUCAUUACUGACGCUGAGCGCGAAAGCGUGGGGAGCAACAGGAUUAGAUACCCUGGUAGUCCACGCCGUAAACGAUGAUUGCUAGUUGUCGGGCUGCAUGCAGUUCGGUGACGCAGCUAACGCAUUAAGCAAUCCGCCUGGGGAGUACNNCGCAUGAUNAAACUCCANGNUCGACNGGGNNGCAC
rnacentral:rRNA from 1 species